GACGUAGGGGGGCCAGCGUUGUUCGGAAUUACUGGGUGUAAAGGGUUCGUAGGCGGUGUAGCAAGUCGGGAGUGAAAUCUCUGGGCUUAACCCAGAGGCUGCUUCCGAAACUGCUGUGCUUGAGUGUGGGAGAGGCGCGUGGAAUUGCAGGUGUAGCGGUGAAAUGCGUAGAUAUCUGCAGGAACACCCGUGGCGAAAAGCGGCGCGCUGGACCACUACUGACGCUGAGGAACGAAAGCUAGGGGGAGCAAACAGG
rnacentral:rRNA from 1 species